rnacentral:lncRNA from 13 species
CUGAGAAAAAAAUUCACGACUGUUCUUACCAAGCUCAGUGAAGCUUGCAUAGCAGUGUCUUUAACACAAUAAAACUGGGAAGGGGAGCCAUACAUUGGGCCAUAAAAUAAACUCAACCAAUCUCAUUUCCAACUGUGAGUAGAGACUUGGUUUUGGUGUUACAGAAGCCCACCUUCCAUGUUCCCCCGGUUUUCCAAUGCGUUUGCAGCAACUUAAAUAAAUUCCUUCUUGCUUUUUUGAUGCGAGUUUCCACCCCAUGCUCCAGGCAGCCUCUUGUUUGAAAAGUCCACAGAGAAGGUGGGGAUCGGGGCUAGGUCAACCCUCAUUUCUCCUUGCUCCCCUCCUCUUCCCCUUUCAGUGGCUCUGUGAAGCCCUUGCUGCAGGGCGUGGUCUGAGUGAGGCAAUAGGAACAGGGAAGAAGCCAUUCCCACCCGUCUGGAUGCCAGGGCCGUCGCAGAGACAAGUUCACAUGUCAAGGUGCUUCACCAGGGGCCAGAGAAGGUGGCCAUCAGCAAGCCUGACACAGGAAGAGAAAGGCAGAGUCAAGAGAUGGAAAUGAGAAAAAAGAAUCCCAGUGAUCACCCUGGAGUUCCUAUGUCCAGCUAUACCUGAAACCGACUCCAUUUCUCAAUUUCAAAGGACAUAAAAGCCCAUGAAGUUUCUACUUUGCUUAGCUUAUUGGAACUGCACUUCUAUCAUGGGGAAGUGAAAGCUUCCUGACCAACCACUGUGAUCAGGAGCCUGACGUGGUAGGAGGAGCUUGGGACCUCUUGGGCCUGCUCUUCCUCAGUCUCCCAAGGGCUGGGCCACGUCUCACUUUCUCCAAGCCCCUUUCCCUCCUCUGUACAGUGCCCUGCACAGAAGAGGGGACCAGCAAAUGCUUGUUGGACUCCAUAAUGGUGCAUCGGCAGGGGUCUGACCCAAGUUCUCAGUGCCUCAUCUUAUAGAUGAGGAUAAUAACACAUGCCUUGCUUAGUUCACAAGAGCAACAUAAAGGCCCAUUGGUGUAAAGGUAAAUAAAAGCCCUUCAUAGCAUAUAAAGUGCUGAACA